CCUACGGGGGGCAGCAGUGGGGAAUAUUGGACAAUGGGGGGAACCCUGAUCCAGCCAUGCCGCGUGUGUGAAGAAGGCCCUCGGGUUGUAAAGCACUUUCAGUGAGGAAGAACGCCUGGUGGUUAAUACCCAUCAGGAAAGACAUCACUCACAGAAGAAGCACCGGCUAACUCCGUGCCAGCAGCCGCGGUAAUACGGAGGGUGCGAGCGUUAAUCGGAAUUACUGGGCGUAAAGCGCGCGUAGGUGGCUUGAUAAGCCGGUUGUGAAAGCCCCGGGCUCAACCUGGGAACGGCAUCCGGAACUGUCAAGCUAGAGUGCAGGAGAGGAAGGUAGAAUUCGCGGUGUAGCGGUGAAAUGCGUAGAGAUCGGGAGGAAUACCAGUGGCGAAGGAGGCCUUCUGGACUGACACUGACACUGAGGUGCGAAGGCGUGGGUAGCAAACAGGAUUAGAUACCCUUGUAGUC
rnacentral:rRNA from 1 species